CACCGCUUGAGCGAAGGCCUGGGCUGGAUCCUGCAGUGGAGGAGAGCAGGGCCUCUGUUACUUCAGAAUCAACUCCCUGUAGCCCCGCCCUUCUCCAUUUCUGCCCCUGAAGAGAAGCUCCCACCUGGCCUCGCUUCCCCCUUUUUUAAGGGACAGCCUUCCCUGCCUCAAGGGACACUCAGACACUGGCAGCUUCUCCUUCCAUCCCAGAGCUGCCCCAUUCGGCCCUCACCUCCCCCUCUACCUUAGAACCAAGCCCAAGGAUGCAUCUGACUCAGAAGGACACUAAGACCCCGCAGAAAGCAGGCUCCUGGCUGAGCUUAUAUGAAAAGCCAGAACACUCCACUCAUUCACAGUCCCUGUACUUAUGCGCCUUGGAGAGUGAGGAACCCUGCGAGCGAGGGGCUUCUCCCACGAAGGGAAUCAGUGACUUCAGUGAACUUUGUGUCUGGUCCCUGGUGAAGGUUCCCCACUUUGCCGAGCUGCACAUGUCUCCUGUUGGUUGAGAGGAGUUUGAACCUGCUUCUUCCUCCUGAGGGGCUGCUAUACCCAGCCUAUGGCACUAUCCCAUUGUUGCACCAUCUUAAUUUCAGCAUCCAAAGGUCCAUUUAGAAAACCAUUAAGCCAUUCUAAUAACUCAAAAUAUAAAGUGCUUUCUUUUGUUCAGUGUCAAAUUGCUGAUGAAAGAGCUUGUGGCAUUUGACCUAUCACGGCAGAUAUAUUAUCAUAUUCGGAGAAUAAUGGCUUAUUUUCAAACCACUUUGUCUAAAUCACAUGGACAUGCCCCAGGAGCCCAGAGAUCUGGUUGCUCUCAUGAGAUGCAGAGAGAGGAGAGCCUCACCUGUGAGGGAGGGGAUAGACUGAGGAUGAGGGAUGACUUUAG
ensembl:lncRNA